rnacentral:rRNA from 1 species
AGCCAGACUGGCUUGUCUGUAAUCAGUCUAAGCUUCGGCUUGGAUGCACUUGCAGGCUAUGCCUGCCAACGACAAUUUGGCUUGAGGGAAAAAACUAAGGGAAAUGUGGCCCAUCCGUGGGUGUUAUAGUCCCUUAGAAAAUACCUUGGGCUGGAUUGAGGUACGCAGCGAAUGCUAUUUGGCGAGUUGGCUGGGAAUAUUUUCUGAGGUGCUUU